rnacentral:rRNA from 1 species
AUUCAACAGCCACUGUUCACUUGAUCUGUACCAUAUUUCUUGGAUAACUGUGGUAAUUCUAGAGCUAAUACACGCACCCAUGCUCCAACCGCAAGGGAAGAGCGCAUUUAUUAGAACAAAACCAAUCGGACUUCGGUCCGUUUCGUUUGUGACUCUGAAUAACUUUGCUGAUCGUACGGUCUUUGCACCGACGACGCAUCUUUCAAGUGUCUGCCUUAUCAACUUUCGACGGUAGUUUCUGUGCCUACCGUGGUUGCAACGGGUAACGGAGAAUAAGGGUUCGACUCCGGAGAGGGAGCCUGAGAAACGGCUACCACAUCCAAGGAAGGCAGCAGGCGCGCAAAUUACCCACUCUCAGCGCGAGGAGGUAGUGACGAAAAAUAACGAGUCGGUUCUCUUUGAGGCCCGAUAUCGGAAUGGGUACAAUUUAAACCCUUUAACGAGGACCUAUGAGAGGGCAAGUCUGGUGCCAGCAGCCGCGGUAAUUCCAGCUCUCAAGGUGUAUAUCGCCAUYGCUGCGGUUAAAAAGCUCGUAGUUGGAUCUGCGCCUGUGGACUSGGUCCGCCCAAGUGGUGAGAACUGAGCUCCCGGGCUUAUCUGCCGGUUUUCGCGCGGUGCUCUUCACCGGGUGUCGUGCGUGGCUGGCGAGUUUACUUUGAAGAAAUUAGAGUGCUCAAAACAGGCGUUUCGCCUGCAUAGUUGUGCAUGGAAUAAUGGAACAGGACCUCGGUCCGUUUUGUUGGUUUCGGAACUCGAGAUAAUGGUUAAGAGGGACUGACGGGGGCAUUCGUAUCGCUGCGUGAGAGGUGAAAUUCUUGGACCGUAGCGGGACGCCCGACUGCGAAAGCAUUUGCCAAGAAUGUCUUCAUUAAUCAAGAACGAAAGUCAGAG